AUUGAACGCUGGCGGCAUGCCUUACACAUGCAAGUCGAACGGUAACAGGUCUUCGGAUGCUGACGAGUGGCGAACGGGUGAGUAAUACAUCGGAACGUGCCCGAUCGUGGGGGAUAACGGAGCGAAAGCUUUGCUAAUACCGCAUACGAUCUACGGAUGAAAGCAGGGGACCGCAAGGCCUUGCGCGGACGGAGCGGCCGAUGGCAGAUUAGGUAGUUGGUGGGAUAAAAGCUUACCAAGCCGACGAUCUGUAGCUGGUCUGAGAGGACGGCCAGCCACACUGGGACUGAGACACGGCCCAGACUCCUACGGGAGGCAGCAGUGGGGAAUUUUGGACAAUGGGCGAAAGCCUGAUCCAGCCAUGCCGCGUGCAGGAUGAAGGCCUUCGGGUUGUAAACUGCUUUUGUACGGAACGAAAAGACUCUUUCUAAUAAAGAGGGUCCAUGACGGUACCGUAAGAAUAAGCACCGGCUAACUACGUG
rnacentral:rRNA from 1 species